rnacentral:misc_RNA from 1 species
AAGUCGUAACAAGGUCUCCGUUGGUGAACCAGCGGAGGGAUCAUUACAGAGUUGCAAAACUCCCCAAACCAUUGUGAACCUUACCCUCUACCGUUGCUUCGGCGGGCGGGCCACAGCGCCCCCCGGGCCCCCUCGGGGGCGCCCGCCGGAGGAUAACCGAACUCUUGAUAUUCAUGGCCUCUCUGAGUCUUCUGUACUGAAUAAGUCAAAACUUUCAACAACGGAUCUCUUGGUUCUG